rnacentral:rRNA from 1 species
AACGAACGCUGGCGGCAUGCCUAACACACGCAAGUCGAACGAGACCUUCGGGUCUAGUGGCGCACGGGUGCGUAACGCGUGGGAACCCGCCCUUAGGUUCGGAAUAACUCCCCGAAAGGGGUGCUAAUACCGGAUAAUGUCUUCGGACCAAAGAUUUAUCGCCUUUGGAUGGGCCCGCGUUGGAUUAGCUAGUUGGUAGGGUAAAAGCCUACCAAGGCGACGAUCCAUAGCUGGUCUGAGAGGAUGAUCAGCCACACUGGGACUGAGACACGGCCCAGACUCCUACGGGAGGCAGCAGUGGGGAAUAUUGGACAAUGGGCGAAAGCCUGAUCCAGCAAUGCCGCGUGAGUGAUGAAGGCCUUAGGGUUGUAAAGCUCUUUUACCCGGGAUGAUAAUGACAGUACCGGGAGAAUAAGCUCCGGCUAACUCCGUG